AAUGAGACGACGACGUGUCGUCGACGACGUGUCGACAGCAGCGGCUGUCUUCCCUUCGCAACAAGGACAGAGGAUUCCAGGACGUACAAGCAUUAGUGCCAGACGUACGACGCGCCGGAGUGCGUCGUUUCACUGCUUCAAGCUUCACACUCCAGCUUGUUCGAACUCUUGUGUCAUCAGCACUUGCCUAACAAUAUAUGAAAAAUAGAGCUUGAGCUCCUGGGCCCCCAUCUUUAAGGGGUGCCGGGGCGAGGGCGGCUGUCCGCCACCAACGCACACCUUCAACUUCUCCGUGCUGCCAGUCGCCGACCCUACAGACCAAGUCCAGGAGGUGAUGUUCAUGGGUGUGGUGGGACCGUUCGACGAGAAGCGAGUGUGCAAGAUCAAGUGCAUCUCCGGGCGCUGGGUGGGGCCUCUCUGCUCCCUCGAGCACG